rnacentral:rRNA from 1 species
UGGGGAAUCUUGGACAAUGGGCGCAAGCCUGAUCCAGCCAUGCCGCGUGGAUGAUGAAGGCCUUAGGGUUGUAAAAUCCUUUCGUGGGGGACGAUAAUGACGGUACCCCAAGAAGAAGCUCCGGCUAACUUCGUGCCAGCAGCCGCGGUAAUACGAAGGGGGCUAGCGUUGUUCGGAUUUACUGGGCGUAAAGCGCGUGUAGGCGGGUCGUUAAGUUGGGGGUGAAAUCCCGAGGCUCAACCUCGGAACUGCCUUCAAAACUGGCGACCUGGACUCAAGUAGAGGCAAGUGGAAUUGCGGGUGUAGAGGUGAAAUUCGUAGAUAUUCGCAGGAACACCAGUGGCGAAGGCGACUUGCUGGACUUGUAGUGACGCUGAGACGCGAAAGCGUGGGGAGCAAACAGGAUUAGAUACCCCAGUAGUCCCUGAGCGGGCUGGCAAGGCGCAU